UCUGCGGACCCUACAGCCAUUGAAAGUUGAAAUCUUGGGCUUAUGAAACAGUGUUAUGUUUAAAAAGUGUUCAUGACUUUGGCCGUCGCUGGUAAGGCCAUCACUUAUUGCCCAUCCUCAACUGCCCUUCUGAAGGUGUUGACCUAAUAUUCACCAAACAUGAUCACCCGAACAACGUCAACUUGUAUAAAAAUACCAGAGGGUGAGAGGCUUCACAUGGAACUAUCCCCAAGUAGUGUGCCAAAACUUCAUGGAAGACAGAGAAAAAGAAUGCCCAUGUAUGUUCUGAAAGUCCCACACCUGAAGAAUGAACUUGUCUGAUCUCGCCAUAGGAGCUGAUUGACGAGCUCCAGCAUUUUCCAUUGCUGUUUCAAAUUUCCAGCUUUUUUUAGCUUCUAUUAAUUCU